rnacentral:rRNA from 1 species
CCAUGGCCCCGCAAGGGGAGCGGCAGACGGGUGAGUAACGCGUGGGAAUCUACCGAGCCCUACGGAAUAACGCAUGGAAACGUGUGCUAAUACCGUAUACGCCCUACGGGGGAAAGAUUUAUCGGGGUUUGAUGAGCCCGCGUUGGAUUAGCUAGUUGGUGGGGUAAAGGCCUACCAAGGCGACGAUCCAUAGCUGGUCUGAGAGGAUGAUCAGCCACAUUGGGACUGAGACACGGCCCAAACUCCUACGGGAGGCAGCAGUGGGGAAUAUUGGACAAUGGGCGCAAGCCUGAUCCAGCCAUGCCGCGUGAGUGAUGAAGGUCUUAGGAUUGUAAAAGCUCUUUCACCGGUGAAGAUAAUGACGGUAACCGGANAAGAAGCCCCGGCUUACUUCGUGCCAGCAACCGCGGUAAUACGAAAGGGGGCUUAGCGUUGUUCGGAAUUACUGGGGCGUAAACCGCACGUUAGGCGGAUAUUUUAAGUCCAGGGGGGAAAUCCCA